ensembl:snoRNA SNORD14 Small nucleolar RNA SNORD14
UCGCUGUGAUGACGUUUAUUCCAGCCAUUCGUAGUUUCCACCAGAGGUCGAAAGAUCAAAGAUGGCGCAGCCCUUCCUUGGAUGUCUGAGCGU